rnacentral:rRNA from 1 species
GAUGAACGCUGGCGGCGUGCCUAAUACAUGCAAGUCGAGCGAAGCGGGGACGGGUGAGUAACACGUGGAAAACCUCCUAUAAGCAUGGGAUAACUUCGGGAAACCGGAGCUAAACCGGAAAAUUAUAGAUGGAUCCGCGCGGCAUUAGCUAGUUGGUAAGGUAACGGCUUACCAAGGCAACGAUGCAUAGCCGACCUGAGAGGGGGAGUGGCCACACUGGAACUGAGACACUGUCCAGACUCCUACGGGAGGCAGCAGUAGGGAAACUUCCGCAAUGGGCGAAAGCCUGCCGGAGCAACGCCGCGUGAUUGAUGAAGGUCUUCGGAUCGUAAAACUCUUUUAUUAGGGAAGCGGUACCUAAUCAGAAAGCCACGGCUAACUACGUGCCAGCAGCCGCGGUAAUUC